UACGGGGGGGGGGCAAGCGUUUGUUCGGAAUUACUGGGCGUAAAGGGCUCGUAGGUGGCCAACUAAGUCAUACGUGAAAAUCCCUCGGCUUAACCGGGGAACUGCGUCUGAUACUGGAUGGCUUGAGGUUGGGAGAGGGAUGCGGAAUUCCAGGUGUAGCGGUGAAAUGCGUAGAUAUCUGGAGGAACACCGGUGGCGAAGGCGGCAUCCUGGACCAAUUCUGACACUGAGGAGCGAAAGCCAGGGGGAGCAAAACGGGG
rnacentral:rRNA from 1 species